rnacentral:rRNA from 1 species
CCUACGGGAGGCAGCAGUGAGGAAUAGUGGUCAAUGGACGGAAGUCUGAACCAGCCAUGCCGCGUGCAGGAAGACGGCGCUAUGAGUUGUAAACUGCUUUUGUACAAGGGUAAACCGGAAUACGUGUAUGCAGCUGAAAGUACUGUACGAAUAAGGAUCGGCUAACUCCGUGCCAGCAGCCGCGGUAAGACGGAGGAUCCAAGCGUUAUCCGGAUUUAUUGGGUUUAAAGGGUGCGGAGGCGGAUUGAUAAGUUAGAGGUGAAAUGUCCGAGCUUACCUCGGGAACUGCCUCUCAUACUGGUGCUCUAGAGAGUAGCUGCGGUAGGCGGAAUGUCUGGUGUAGCGGU